UUUCGCAAUGCCCGAAAGGGUGACGAAGCGACGCCGCGUGGGCGAAGAAGGCCCUAGGGUUGUAAAGCUCUGUCAGGGGUUAUGAAAUGUAGACUAGCUAAUACCUGGUUUAUUUGACAAAGGCCCCAAAGGAAGCCACGGCUAACUCUGUGCCAGCAGCCGCGGUAAUACAGAGGUGGCAAGCGUUGUUCGGUAUUAUUGGGCGUAAAGAGCACGUAGGUGGUUUUGUAAGUCAGAUGUGAAAGCCUUCUGUUCAAAGGAAGAACGGCAUCUGAAACUGCAGAUCUUGAGUAUAGGAGGGGAGAGUGGAACUUCUGGUGGAGCGGUGAAAUGCGUAGAUAUCAGAAGGAACGUCGGCGGCGAAAGCGACUCUCUGGCCUAUUACUGACACUGAGUGUGCGAAAGUUAGGGGAGCAAACGGGAUUAGAUACCCCGGUAGUCCUAACCGUAAACGAUGGGCACUAAGUAGAGGGGUUUUA
rnacentral:rRNA from 1 species